AGAGAAAAUUCUAGAGGGAUCCCAGUAUGAGUUCCUGAAAUUAUUUCAGAUGAAAUAUCUGGAAAAGUCACUAGAAGAUAUCUUGAAGUUUUCCCAUGAGACAAGUGAGAGGAAAUUCUUAAAGAACCUGCUGGAGCCCGUAGAAUUUUGCAUCAGGAUUCACUGCAAUCCAAAUGAGGGAAAAAGACACUAGAAAACAUUUUGAUUAAAAUAGGGACAAUAGAGAUGUUCAAUUAAAAAUAGAGACUAUUCAGAGACUUUCAUUACAAUAGAGACCUACCCAACAAACAUUAUAGUUGAAUAACAGUUUAUUCGGCUGAAAUAUGUUUGAGAGUAUUCGGUUCAACUCUUAUUCCGCGAAAAUGUUUGUUGGGAACUUUCUAGAUAAAUACUUGCUACCAGCCCUAUAGCAACUUCUUCAGCUCAAAACUGUUAAAUAAAUCUGUUUGUUCAACAAAUUUAACAUUAAAAAAAGAACUAUCAUAAUUUGAAUGAAUCAAACGAAUUUUGUUGUUGACAAAUAAGCCUGAAAAAACAUUGAAUUCAACAUGUAAACAUAUAAAAUCUACUUAGAUGUAUUAAAUAUAAAAAAACAUUACCUACAUUAAUUUAAAUUUCAAAUUGGUUUACGUUUAUAGGGGAUUUGAAGUAUUAUUAAACGUAAUAAAAUAGUUUGACUCUGGCAAUGAAAACCUUAUAAAAACUUUACAAAUAUCUAGUCUAUGCUAAAGUACCAGAUUUUUUUUCUGGGAAAAGGGCCCCUACAAGAUAAUGGCCCCAGGGCCCCCACAUUUGUAAAUCCGGCCCUGGACACAGAACCCCGUGGUUAUACCACAAACCGUGGUUACCCCCAAAAUAGGGCAAAUGAUCCGGCCAAACGUUACACCAGGCCGAGGACCAGGAGUGAAGCUGGUGGUCACUUCAGGCGCUCAUCACGUGGUCCAGCAAUGGCGGCAAAGGUCGCAGGAAUGACACGGAUCGAGCAGGAGCAACGAGGACAUCGGCAGAGGGGCCCCAAGGGCCGAAAGAAGUGAGCAAGAAAAGGUCAGAAUAGUCCUUAAGAAAGUGGGUGAAGUAGAGUUGAAGAUAGAUAGCGAAGCUAGAGAAGGGAACAGUGAGAGAGAGAGAGAAGAAGAAGAAGAAGAAUAAACAGGAGAGUGAAACUGCAUCCCAAGUGUUUUCCUGAAUUCCGCGAAACAGCAAGGAUAAGCGUGCCGACCCUAGAGAUGAGGGAAUAUACAGGUCUCGUUAGCCGCUGGGAAGGGUCACCUUCUGUGAACCCUCCCUAAGCUGACUGUAGCUGCCGGUGAUGAACCGUGAGUUACAACAUAUACCCCUUAAAAUGUAGGUUGAAUAAACUUUGAAACAAUCUACGAAUAAUGUAGCUUAAACCGAUAUCAAAAUAUUGUAAUCUCGUUUAAUCAUAAUAAUAAUGAGCUCCUUAUAGUCGUAUAUUGCAAAAUCCUUGUGGGUGGAUGUCAUCACUGAAUGUAAGAGAUCUGACUGUAUUUUUUCAACUUUAUUACACAUUCCAGAGAAUAUACCGAGAAAUGUUUAUUUAUUUAUGUUCCAUCCUUACUACUAAAAUGACAAUAAAAUAUAUGAUUACAACAAUUUAAAAACAGGUGCAC